CAUAUACUGGCCUGUCCGAUCUGCUUGGUCCAGCAUCCCAGGAGUGUAGCCAUCCUCUCGUCGGCGAGUUUCUGUAUCCGUAUGCUGCGCGAUUUUUAUCUCAUAGUAGAGACCCGAAGAAAUGGAGAUCGGUCUUGGGUCACAAUCGCGUGACCUAAUUGUAAAGAAGUCUUUUUGGAGAUGACUGCUAAGAAGACACGCAGGUUCCGGGAUCGGGAGAUGGCAGAGUACCACCGGUUUCUGUGUACAAUUACAAAAUUACGUGUCCUGACCGGACGCAUGGAAGCGAGAUUUUUUGGAACUGGUUACGGUGGCACCACGCGCGUUGAGCUUCUCUCAUCGACGGUGAAAGUUGCCCGGCGUGAAAGUGUGCCUUUCUUCUUCCGUUCACUGAUUCAUGUCGCCCAAUACCUGGCAUAGAGGAGAGAGAUACGAGGACGAGGACAAUUAUUUAUUUCUCAACAACUCGCGAGGAACGCGGAACCGGACGACAGAGAUGCAUCCGAUCGCGUCCAUACUCUCGCGCGCGAAAAUUCCAUUUUCUCGGAUUCGCAGAAAGGAAAAUCUCAACUUACUCAGGAUCACUGACGAAGACAUCUCCGUUCGAAAGGAAGAGGGAAAAUAAAGGCUUAUCCCGCGGACAUCCCCAGCGUUUUGUUUGUCACAACGUCGCGGACGGCACCCGUGACACCAGGGGCACGAGAGACGCGGCGCCGAACUAUUUUAGCUAAGAAUUGUCGCGCGAGAGCGCCGGCGAGUUAUGCAUGGUGCGUCGAGAGCGGCGAGAGAAACAGAAAGAGAGAGAAAGAGAACGAGAGUGACAAUUGUGGCGGGGAGAGGGCACGACACCGGC
rnacentral:lncRNA from 13 species